rnacentral:tRNA from 1 species
AGUGUGGCGCAACGGUAGCGCAGCGGUUUUGUAAACCGACGGUUGCGGGUUCGAUUCCUGCCACUGG